UUUCCGUAGGUGAACCUGCGGAAGGAUCAUUACCGAGUUGGGGUCCUCUGGGCCCGAUCUCCCACCCGAUGUGAAUCGACCACUUGUUGCUUUGGCCGGUCCGUCCUCGCGGCGGCCGGCCAACAGCCCCCGAAACUUCUGUCAACCAUGGUUGUCUGAUGUGAUUUGAAAUCAAACAAAACUUUCAACAACGGAUCUCUUGGUUCUGGCAUCGAUGAAGAACGCAGC
rnacentral:misc_RNA from 1 species